CGUGAGUAACCUGCCCUUAACUCUGGGAUAAGCCUGGGAAACUGGGUCUAAUACCGGAUAGGAGCGUCCACCGCAUGGUGGGUGUUGGAAAGAUUUAUCGGUUUUGGAUGGACUCGCGGCCUAUCAGCUUGUUGGUGAGGUAAUGGCUCACCAAGGCGACGACGGGUAGCCGGCCUGAGAGGGUGACCGGCCACACUGGGACUGAGACACGGCCCAGACUCCUACGGGAGGCAGCAGUGGGGAAUAUUGCACAAUGGGCGCAAGCCUGAUGCAGCGACGCCGCGUGAGGGAUGACGGCCUUCGGGUUGUAAACCUCUUUCAGUAGGGAAGAAGCGAAAGUGACGGUACCUGCAGAAGAAGCACCGGCUAACUACGUGCCAGCAGCCGCGGUAAUACGUAGGGUGCGAGCGUUAUCCGGAAUUAUUGGGCGUAAAGAGCUCGUAGGCGGUUUGUCGCGUCUGUCGUGAAAGUCCGGGGCUUAACCCCGGAUCUGCGGUGGGUACGGGCAGACUAGAGUGCAGUAGGGGAGACUGGAAUUCCUGGUGUAGCGGUGGAAUGCGCAGAUAUCAGGAGGAACACCGAUGGCGAAGGCAGGUCUCUGGGCUGUAACUGACGCUGAGGAGCGAAAGCAUGGGGAGCGAACAGGAUUAGAUACCCUGGUAGUCCAUGCCGUAAACGUUGGGCACUAGGUGUGGGGACCAUUCCACGGUUUCCGCGCCGCAGCUAACGCAUUAAGUGCCCCGCCUGGGGAGUACGGCCGCAAGGCUAAAACUCAAAGGAAUUGACGGGGGCCCGCACAAGCGGCGGAGCAUGCGGAUUAAUUCGAUGCAACGCGAAGAACCUUACCAAGGCUUGACAUGUUCUCGAUCGCCGUAGAGAUACGGUUUCCCCUUUGGGGCGGGUUCACAGGUGGUGCAUGGUUGUCGUCAGCUCGUGUCGUGAGAUGUUGGGUUAAGUCCCGCAACGAGCGCAACCCUCGUUCCAUGUUGCCAGCACGUAAUGGUGGGGACUCAUGGGAGACUGCCGGGGUCAACUCGGAGGAAGGUGAGGACGACGUCAAAUCAUCAUGCCCCUUAUGUCUUGGGCUUCACGCAUGCUACAAUGGCCGGUACAAUGGGUUGCGAUACUGUGAGGUGGAGCUAAUCCCAAAAAGCCGGUCUCAGUUCGGAUUGGGGUCUGCAACUCGACCCC
rnacentral:rRNA from 1 species